rnacentral:snRNA from 1 species
UUUCGUGUGGUCAAGACAGAGUGAUCUAUUCUUCCUCCUUUUACUAAAUAAUACCAUGUCUUGGCCACCAACAAUGGCAUACGCCUAUUUUUUGAGGCUUCCAUCUCACUGCGAGA